UGGGGAAUAUUGCACAAUGGGCGAAAGCCUGAUGCAGCGACGCCGCGUGAGGGAUGACGGCCUUCGGGUUGUAAACCUCUUUCAGCAGGGACGAAGCGCAAGUGACGGUACCUGCAGAAGAAGCACCGGCUAACUACGUGCCAGCAGCCGCGGUAAUACGUAGGGUGCAAGCGUUGUCCGGAAUUACUGGGCGUAAAGAGUUCGUAGGCGGUUUGUCGCGUCGUUUGUGAAAGCUAGCAGCUCAACUGCUGGCUUGCAGGCGAUACGGGCAGACUUGAGUACUGCAGGGGAGACUGGAAUUCCUGGUGUAGCGGUGAAAUGCGCAGAUAUCAGGAGGAACACCGGUGGCGAAGGCGGGACUCUGGGCAGUAACUGACGCUGAGGAACGAAAGCGUGGGUAGCGAACAGG
rnacentral:rRNA from 1 species